GACGAACGCUGGCGGCGUGCUUAACACAUGCAAGUCGAACGGAAAGGCCCUGCUUUUGUGGGGUGCUCGAGUGGCGAACGGGUGAGUAACACGUGAGUAACCUGCCCUUGACUUUGGGAUAACUUCAGGAAACUGGGGCUAAUACCGGAUAGGAGCUCCUGCUGCAUGGUGGGGGUUGGAAAGUUUCGGCGGUUGGGGAUGGACUCGCGGCUUAUCAGCUUGUUGGUGGGGUAGUGGCUUACCAAGGCUUUGACGGGUAGCCGGCCUGAGAGGGUGACCGGCCACAUUGGGACUGAGAUACGGCCCCGACUCCCACGGGAGGGAGGAGGGGGGAAUAUUGCACAAUGGGCGGAAGCCUGAUGCAGCAACGCCGCGUGCGGGAUGACGGCCUUUGGGUUUGAAAACGCUUUCGCCUGUGACGAAGCGUGAGUGACGGUAAUGGGUAAAGAAGCACCGGCUAACUACGUG
rnacentral:rRNA from 1 species